rnacentral:tRNA from 1 species
GUGGCUGGCUCAGUGGUAGAGUGCUUGCCUUGCAUGCAAGAGGCCUGGGUUUGAUUCUUCAAAACCACA